AACCAAAUCAAACUAAACCAAAUGAUCGUGUAAUCAAACCAAAAAAAAAAAAAUGAAAUAUUUGUAACCAAAUGAUCCAUGAUAUAUUGGGCCAUCGACCCGUUAACAUAUAAUUUCUUGCUACUAUUGGGCUUCGUACAUAUAUAUGACAACUUAACGCUUUCUCAAUCUUAUCACAAGACGAGAUAAUUCUUUUUUUUUUUUUAACAGACGAGAUAAUCUUCUCAAUCUCCGUCCUGACAAUGGAGAGAUCUACGCUCAAACGAACAUCGAGUUUUCCGGAUCCUGAGCGUUCGACUUUGAUCAUGCGGCCGAAAUUCGGAUCUCCAUUCCUUUCCCGGGAGAAUCUCUAUAAUCUUUUCUCACAAAUCGUCGUUUUCCCUCUUGCCGUUAUCUUUCUCACGAACAUUUGAGAAAAGAGCAUCUUCGAGACGGAACUAAUCCUAACUUGGUUUAGCUCAGUUUUCAAUCCCAGAAUCCGUUUGUUGACCCGAAUAAUUUUCCUGUAGAAAUGGCUAGCCAAGGCGGGGCUCCAAGACGGAGCUUAUCUGUAACGACUGCGUCAUUACACGGAAAGAAGAAAUCCAUGGAAAUUGGCGAACGAGGUCCCGACACUGGCCGGAGAUCUUUUACUGUUUCUCGUUCUCCUUUGUGAUGUUAGAUUCUACGCGUGAUUUUUGUUUCCUUUUAGAAACAAGUAAAAUUCCACCCAACUAUUAGAGUUUAACACUCAAAAUUUGGGCUUCCAUUGGGUUGAUUAUUUUAAAUUUAGGGUAUAGUAUUUAAGGGAUAUGGUUUAGUAUUUGGAAUUUAGAAUCUAGGGUUUGAAAAUUGAAAAUUUAAUGUUAGUUUGGUAGUAUUUUUGUUCAAAAAACAAAAACAAUGGUAUUUUAGAGAAUUGCCCAAUAAUACUAACCACACCCAAUAGAAAACACACAAAAAAUAUAUAUUAACCCAUCCUGACACAAUUUACAUUAACUCUACAUACAGUAUGUGUUUUAUAUCUAUAUAUACAGAUAAGGAAACAAAGAUGUUUCAAUACCAAUUGUCCUGGUUUUGUCUUAGUGAAUUCCCAAAUCCCUCUUGGUCUUGUCUUCAAGGUGUCCAAACCUGACGCGAUAAUGGAAAAUAGAUUUUACAUCGCCCGAGACAAUAUAAGUGGGAACUGGUGGUUAACAUUGGGUAAAGACAUAAGCAUAGGUUUCUGGCCAAUUCAAACUCUGGUAGGUUUAGGUGAUAGUGCGACUGAUAUUUUCUGGGGCGGAGAAAUUAUCAGUGUCCCGAACUCAAAGAGUUGUCCGAUGGGUAACGGCCAAACCAUGACGGGUCCAUAUCCGAAACUAUAUGCAUAUGCACGCGGUGUGUCGGUUCUUGAUGGAAAUAAAGGAACACUUGUGUCAAUAGAUCAUAGAAAC